ACUGUUGAUGACGAAGACGUGAUCUCGUACAUCAUCGCCGGCCUCGACGAAGAUUAUGAUCUAGUGGUGUCGUCCAUUGUGAGGCGCGCCGACCGUGCCACCAUCGGCGAGGCCUACUCACAACUCUUGAGUUUUGAGC
rnacentral:snoRNA from 1 species